rnacentral:rRNA from 1 species
AUUGAACGCUGGCGGCAUGCUUUACACAUGCAAGUCGAACGGCAGCGCGGGCUUCGGCCUGGCGGCGAGUGGCGAACGGGUGAGUAAUACAUCGGAACGUGCCCAGUAGUGGGGGAUAGCUCGGCGAAAGCCGGAUUAAUACCGCAUACGACCUGAGGGUGAAAGCGGGGGAUCUUCGGACCUCGCGCUAUUGGAGCGGCCGAUGGCAGAUUAGCUAGUUGGUGGGGUAAAGGCCUACCAAGGCGACGAUCUGUAGCUGGUCUGAGAGGACGACCAGCCACACUGGGACUGAGACACGGCCCAGACUCCUACGGGAGGCAGCAGUGGGGAAUUUUGGACAAUGGGCGAAAGCCUGAUCCAGCAAUGCCGCGUGUGUGAUGAAGGCCUUCGGGUUGUAAAGCACUUUUGGGGGAACGAAAGGGACUGUGCCAAUACCACGGUUCGAUGACC